rnacentral:rRNA from 1 species
AGAGUUUGAUCCUGGCUCAGAUUGAACGCUGGCGGCAUGCCUAACACAUGCAAGUCGCACGCGAAAGGGGGCAACCCCGAGUAGAGUGGCGGACGGGUGCGUAAUACGCAGGAAUCUACCCACGAGUGGGGGACAACCCGGGGAAACCCGGGCCAAUACCGCAUGAGACCUACGGGUGAAAGCGGGGGAUCGCAAGACCUCGCGCUGGUGGAUGAGCCUGCGUCCGAUUAGCUAGUUGGUAGGGUAAAAGCCUACCAAGGCAACGAUCGGUAGCUGGUCUGAGAGGACGACCAGCCACACUGGGACUGAGACACGGCCCAGACUCCUACGGGAGGCAGCAGUGGGGAAUAUUGGACAAUGGGGGCAACCCUGAUCCAGCAAUGCCGCGUGUGUGAAGAAGGCCUUCGGGUUGUAAAGCACUUUCGAUGGGGACAAACGUGUCGGGCUUAAUACGUCCGGCCUUGAUGGUACCCAGAGAAGAAGCACCGGCUAACUCUGUGCCAGCAGCCGCGGUAAUACAGAGGGUGCAAGCGUUAAUCGGAAUUACUGGGCGUAAAGCGUGCGUAGGUGGUUGGAUAAGUCAGGUGUGAAAUCCCCGAGCUUAACUUGGGAAUUGCGCUUGAUACUGUCCGGCUAGAGUGUGGUAGAGGGUAGUGGAAUUCCGCAUGUAGCGGUGAAAUGCGUAGAUAUGCGGAGGAACAUCAGUGGCGAAGGCGGCUACCUGGACCAACACUGACACUGAGGCACGAAAGCGUGGGUAGCAAACAGGAUUAGAUACCCUGGUAGUCG